rnacentral:tRNA from 1 species
AAAUUUAGGUUCACAAAACCAGGAGCCUUCAAAGCCCCAAACAGGGCGCCCGCCCUAAUUUCUG